rnacentral:tRNA from 1 species
GUCCCCGUAGCUCAACGGAUAGAGCGCACGGUUUCUACCCGUGUGAUGUUGGUUCGAUUCCAGCCGGGGACACCA